AGGCAACAUGCACAGUGUGAACAUGCCACCGAAUACCCGGCGCCACCGAGCCGAACCGAACCGAACCAAACAUCGCCCCGCUGACAUCAAGUGCUUACGAUUGUGACUUCAUUUUUCACUGCCUUAUUUAUCGAGAGGGCGUCAUGUUCCUUCUUCAUAGUCAACAUGCUUGCUUAUCUGCCUACUCUGCCAUUCGAGCUUUGAUGACACCUUACCGACCAACGAGUCUUUAUACCCAACUACUUUCCAUCACCUUUCUCGACGGCUACCCUUCUCCUACUCUCCCGACUUUUUGCCGCUCACGGAGCCAUUUAUUAUGGCCAGACUAUGUUUUCUGUUUCUUUUUUCCCUCUUUUUUUUCUUUUUUUGUUCUAUUCCUAUUCCCUUCUUCUUUCUUUUCAUUUCACUCUUUCCUUUCCCUUUUGCCACUCACAUUCCCAACCACUUUCGUUUCUUUCUUGUUUCGGUGUCCUUUAUACGCCAUGACUCUGCAACAUUUUUCUGUUCUACUUUUGUCUUCCAGCGACUCGUUCGCCAUUAUCAUCAUGUGAUAAUUCUGUCGACUCUGAGCGACGCACAACUGUAUACCAGUUUUACCCAUAAUUUAUGAUCUUCUUGUUUUCUAUUGUUCCUUUUGUGCCCGCACCCUUUCACUAACCGUGUGUGUUUCUCUCAUCUCAGCUUGAGUGUCGCUGUCGCCCUGUCCUGACAUGUUCCUUUUCUAUGCUGACCGUCACUUCGUCGACCGUGUGAUGACCACACACUCACCGUAUGUGGUGAUUCGAGCUCUUAUUUUGAUAUUCAUGUCUUUCUAUUUUUCAUCUUCUCACCGUUGCCGCUCAGACGCUCUCCAUCCACAAUCUUUCCCGCUAAUUCAUUUUUAUCGGUGAUUCAUCUGUUGUGUUCUCUUCGGUUUUUCUCAGCCCUUCAUAUUACACCAUCCCCCAUGUCACAUCGUUUCUACUUACCACAGUUCAUACUGACCCUGCGCUGUCUCGAUUAGUUCUGGCUUCUCACAUCUCCGACCUUUCGCUGUCUCGCUUCGUUCUUCUCUGUUGCAGUCGUUUGUUUCGCACCCUGACGUCUCUUUUGUGCUUAUGUUUCUUAUUUGUUAUUAUUUGUCUACUAGCCAUUAUGCUAGGUUUCUCACCCACUUGCGGUGUUUUGUUACUAACUUUUUCUCAUACCCCCCUUUAGAUUAUCUUUUUUCUUUCUGAACGGACCUCACUCCAAGUUGUCCUUUACUCGAUAUGCAAGGCAAUCGUCGCCCUUGAACAUUAUGCUAAUUACUUUGAAUUCAUAUCAUAUUACUGGUACUACUUGUACUAAUUAAUAUUACUAAACUG
rnacentral:misc_RNA from 1 species